rnacentral:pre_miRNA from 1 species
CUGUGACCUCCUGGGUUUCCCUUUGUCAUCCUAUGCCUGGAGCUCCAGAGGAGGCAGGGACAGCAAAGGGAGGCCCAGCCGUCAUCCCA